rnacentral:rRNA from 1 species
ACACAUGCAAGUCGAGCGCCCAGCAAUGGGAGCGGCGGACGGGUGAGUAACACGUGGGAACAUGCCUUUCGGUACGGAACAACUCAGGGAAACUUGAGCUAAUGCCGUAUGCGCCCUUCGGGGGAAAGAUUUAUCGCCGAAAGAUUGGCCCGCGUCUGAUUAGCUAGUUGGUGAGGUAACGGCUCACCAAGGCUUCGAUCAGUAGCUGGUUUGAGAGAACGACCAGCCACACUGGGACUGAGACACGGCCCAGACUCCUACGGGAGGCAGCAGUGGGGAAUCUUGGACAAUGGGGGAAACCCUGAUCCAGCCAUGCCGCGUGAGUGAUGAAGGCCUUCGGGUUGUAAAACUCUUUUGCCAGGGAAGAUAAUGACUGUACCUGGAGAAUAAGCCCCGGCUAACUUCGUGCCAGCAGCCGCGGUAAUACGAAGGGGGCUAGCGUUGUUCGGAAUUACUGGGCGUAAAGCGCGCGCAGGCGGUUCUUCAAGUCAGGGGUGAAAGCCCAGAGCUCAACUCUGGAAUUGCCUUUGAAACUGUAGAACUUGAGUACGAGAGAGGUGAGUGGAAUUCCCAGUGUAGAGGUGAAAUUCGUAGAUAUUGGGAAGAACACCGGUGGCGAAGGCGGCUCACUGGCUCGUUACUGACGCUCAGGCGCGACAGCGU